UGGGGAAUUUUGGACAAUGGGCGAAAGCCUGAUCCAGCAAUGCCGCGUGUGUGAAGAAGGCCUUCGGGUUGUAAAGCACUUUUGUCCGGAAAGAAAUCCUUGCUCUAAUACAGUCGGGGGAUGACGGUACCGGAAGAAUAAGCACCGGCUAACUNCGUGCCAGCAGCCGCGGUAAUACGUAGGGUGCAAGCGUUAAUCGGAAUUACUGGGCGUAAAGCGUGCGCAGGCGGUUUGCUAAGACCGAUGUGAAAUCCCCGGGCUCAACCUGGGAACUGCAUUGGUGACUGGCAGGCUAGAGUAUGGCAGAGGGGGGUAGAAUUCCACGUGUAGCAGUGAAAUGCGUAGAGAUGUGGAGGAAUACCGAUGGCGAAGCAGCCCCCUGGGCCAAUACUGACGCUCAUGCACGAAAAGCGUGGGGGAGCAAAACAGGAUUAGUACCCCUGGUAGUCCACGCCCUAAACGAUGUCAACUAGUUGUUGGGGAUUCAUUUCCUUAGUAACGUAGCUAACGCGUGAAGUUGACCGCCUGGGGAGUACGGUCG
rnacentral:rRNA from 1 species